CUGGCCAAUAUGGUUAAUCAGCUUUUGAUUAGGUUGCUCAUUGAUUCGUGCUAACCCAUGCUGCAUAGGUAAAUCAGUGUGACUGAUUUAGGUGCUCCUAGAUUGAUCAGCUAGUCUUGAGUCCUCUUUAUAAUUUGAUGAAAUUAGUGGGAGGAUUUAUAACUAUUGGAUAGACCAGAUUAAGCUCAAUCUUCUUUGAUCUGACUUGGUGAAGUCAGUGGGAGGAUUGUUAGUUAGCUGGUC
rnacentral:lncRNA from 1 species